ACCUGAGUGGUUCAGUUGGUUAAGCAUCCGACUUCAGCUCAGAUCAUGAUCUCAUAUUUUGUGGGUUCAAACCCCACGUUGGGUU
rnacentral:tRNA from 1 species